AUUGAACGCUAGCGGGAGGCUUAACACAUGCAAGUCGAACGAGUGGCGGACGGGUGAGUAAUGUCUGGGAACGUGCCCGAUAGCGGGGGAUAACUACUGGAAAGAGUGGCUAAUACCGCAUACCAUCGGAUGUGCCCAGAUGGGAUUAGCUAGUAGGUGGGGUAAAGGCUCACCAAGGCAACGAUCCGUAGCUGGUCUGAGAGGAUGACCAGCCACACUGGGACUGAGACACGGCCCAGACUCCUACGGGAGGCAGCAGUGGGGAAUAUUGCACAAUGGGCGCAAGCCUGAUGCAGCCAUGCCGCGUGUAUGAAGAAGGCCUUAGGGUUGUAAAGUACUUUCAGUCGGGAGGCGUUACCGACAGAAGAAGCACCGGCUAACUCCGUGCCAGCAGCCGCGGUAAUAC
rnacentral:rRNA from 1 species